GCGCGCUACACUGAAGGAAUCAACGUGUGCUCUCCCUGUCCGCCAGGACCGGGUAAUCCGUUGAACCUCCUUCGUGACAGGGACAGAGAAUUGGAAUUUUCUCUCGAACGAGGAAUUCCCAGUAAGCGCGAGUCAUCAMCUCGUGUUGAUUACGUCCCUGCCCAUUGUACACACCGCCCGUCGCUACUACCGAUUGAAUGAUUUAGUGAGGUCUUCGGACUGGUGCUCGAGACGACCUUCCGGUCGGGUCGGCGCGCCGGAAAGAUGACCGAACUUGAUCAUUUAGAGGAAGUAAA
rnacentral:rRNA from 1 species